ensembl:lncRNA
AUGAGAGAAAAUGCUCUUUCGUCGAGAAUUUGGGUACCGUCGGCCGUGAGGCCAACGGCGGGAAAAAAUGAAACAAAAGAUUCUCCACCCGGCCCUCCUCCGGGGGAGGGAGUGGUGCGUUCACCAUCUCCCGAAGAGCAGAUCCCUCCAUCUCUGGGUCGCCUGUCUCAGGGCCGCUUGCUCUUGCGUUUACCACCAGGUUUGGCGGGGGCCUGGACAGGCGGGGCGGCUCUCCCACGCCCGGCUCCACGACGCUGCUUUGCUGGAGGCUGCUGCGGCUGCGGCGCGGGAGCGGGGCGGACGCGGGGGCCCGCCCUCGGCGACGAGCAGGCUGGGGUGCUGCGGCCGGCGGACGGGUGGAGGCAGCAGCUGCCCGGGCUAUGCGAUUCAGUUCGCCCGGCGUCCCCCCAAGUUCAGCGGUAUCCGCUUCACUACAGUGAAAGCGUCCGAUGCCCCUGUUCUGCGGGAAGAGAUCGCAGUCUUACUGGCGAAAGACGCGAUAGAGCCGGUCCCUCCAGCCGAUAUGAGGACGGGGUUUUACAGCCCCUACUUCAUUGUACCCAAGAAAGGCGGUGGGUUACGACCGAUCUUGGAUCUGCGAGUUUUGAACCGGGCCCUUCAUCGGCUACCGUUCAAGAUGUUGACGCAGAAACGCAUCUUCGGGUGCGUCCGUCCCGAGAUUGGUUUGCAGCGAUCGACCUGAAGGAUGCGUACUUUCAUGUGUCGAUCCUUCCGCGCCACAGACCUUUUUCUGCGGUUUGCGUUCGAAGGACGGGCAUAUCAGUACAAGGUCCUGCCCUUCGGGCUGUCCCUGUCUCCCCGUGUCUUCACGAAAGUCACGGAGGCGGCUCUUGUUCCACUCAGAGAACAGGGUGUUCGUAUUCUCAACUAUCUAGACGAUUGGCUGAUACUAGCACAAUCUCGGGAUCAGUUGUGCGAACACAGGGACCUGGUGCUCCGGCACCUCAGCCUGUUGGGCCUUCGGGUCAACUGGGAAAAGAGCAAACUCUUGCCAACGCAGAGGAUCUCUUUUCUUGGUAUGGAGUUGGAUUCGGUCGAACAGACAGCACGCCUCACAGAGCAACGUGCGCGGUCAGUGCUAGCCUGCUUGAAUACAUUCAAGAGCAGGACAGCGGUCCCACUGAAACUCUUUCAGAGGCUCCUGGGGCAUAUGGCGGCCGCAGCGGCACUUACACCGCUCGGCCUGCUACAUAUGAGACCGCUCCAGCACUGGCUUUAUGGCCGAGUCCCGAGGUGGGCGUGGAAGCGCGGCACUCACCGGGUCCAAGUUACACCGGCCUGUCGCCAAACCCUCACCCCGUGGUCAGAUCUUGCGUUUCUCAGGGCAGGGGUGCCCCUAGAGCAGAUCUCCAGGCAUGCUGUGGUUUACACGGAUGCCUCCACCACCCGGCUGGGGGGCCACGUACAACGGGCAUGCAGUCUCAGGGGUUUGGACGGGCCCGCAGCUGCAGUGGCACAUCAAUUGCCUAGAGUUGUUAGCAGUGCACCUUGCCUUGAACCGUCUCAAAGGUCACUUACGAGGCAAGCAUGUGCUGGUCCGAACGGACAACACAGCGACCGUUGCGUACAUCAACCGACAAGGUGGUCUGCGCUCCCGUCGCAUGUCACAACUCGCCCGCCACCUCCUCCUUUGGAGUCAGAAGGUUCUGAGGUCUCUUCGUGCCGUUCACAUUCCAGGCCUGCUCAACCGUACAGCCGACGAGCUGUCUCGAGCAAUGCUCCCAGGAGAAUGGCGACUCCAUCCCCUGACGGUCCAGCUGAUUUGGAGACGGUUCGGAGCCGCUCAGGUAGACCUGUUUGCUUCUCCAGAGACCGCUCACUGCCAGUUGUUCUACUCCCUGACCGAGGGAACUCUCGGCAGGGAUGCACUGGCACACAGCUGGCCGCGGGGCCUACGCAAGUAUGCGUUUCCCCCAGUGAGCCUUCUUGCACAGACACUGUGCAAAGUCCGGGAGGACGAGGAGCAAGUCUUGCUAGUGGCGCCGUAUUGGCCCACGCGGACCUGGUUCCCCGAACUGGUGCUCCUCGCGACAGCCCCUCCUUGGCCGAUUCCUCUGAGGAAGGAUCUACUGACUCAGAGACGGGGCACUCAUUUGGCACCCGCGUCCAGACCUUUGGAAACUCCAUGUCUGGUCCCUGGACGGGACGCGGAGGUUCUAGGUGACCUGCCCCAGGAGGUAGCGAACACCAUCACUUCGGCAAGAGCACCGUCUACGAGACACGCUUACGCCUUGAAGUGGAACCUGUUCGUCGAGUGGUGUUCUUCUCGCCGAGAAGACCCCCGAAGAUGCCCGAUUGCGGUUGUGCUUUCCUUUCUGCAGCAAGGGCUGGAGCGAAGGCUGUCUCCCUCCACCCUCAAAGUCCAGGUUGCCGCUAUUGCUGCGUACCAUGACCCCGUGAAUGGGAAGUCUUUAGGUAAGCAUGACCUCGUCAUCAGGUUCCUUAGAGGGGCCAGGAGGUUAAAUCCUUCCCGGCCCCCCUCCAUACCCUCUUGGGACCUGACUCUGGUGCUAAAAUCACUACAGCAGGGCCCAUUCGAGCCUUUGCAUUCAGUCGAGCCAAAGUUUCUUUCAUUGAAAACUCUGCUCCUGCUUGCACUGGCCUCCAUCAAGAGGGUAGGGGACCUGCACGCAUUUUUCGGUCGACGAUUCGUGCCUAGAGUUUGGGCCGGCUGACUCCCAGGUAAUCCUGAGGCCCCGGCCCGGCUACGUGCCCAAGGUUCCCACUACACCCUUCAAAGACCAAGUGGUGAACCUGCAAGCGCUGCCCCUGGAGGAGGCAGACCCAGCCCUAGCUUUGCUCUGUCCCGUCCGAGCAUUGAGAUGCUACGUAGACCGGACACAAAGCUUCAGGACCUCAGACCAGCUCUUUGUCUGUUACGGAGGCCGGCAGAAGGGGAAUGCCGUCUCUAAGCAGAGGAUGGCCCACUGGAUUGUGGAUGCCAUAGCCCUGGCUUAUCAGGCACAGGGUGUGCCCUGCCCGUUCAGGUUGCGAGCUCACUCGACAAGAAGUGUUGCAUCCUCCUGGGCGCUGGCUCGUGGCGCCUCGCUGACAGAUAUUUGUAGAGCUGCGGGCUGGGCGACCCCUAACACGUUCGCUAGGUUCUAUAGCCUUCGUGUAGAGCCGGUAUCCUCCUGUGUUCUCACCUCAAACGGGUAGUGGCACCGAGAGGCCCCGGGUAGUGUCGGCUUGCUAAAACCGCUCCAGAGUGUCCGUACUGCAGACCCUGUUGAGAUCCUCCAUCACCCUAGGCAGCUGGACGCGGCGGAACGUCCGGCGCCAGGCCUUCAUGAUGAAUCCGUGAGAACCAUGGAAGGCUGGGUUCCAUAUUGAGACUUAAACGGUACUCAUAUGCGUAUAGUCCACGGUAUAGCCUUAGAGCCCGUGUUUCCCCGGCAGACUUCUGCCUUCCAAGAGGGUUUUAAUCACCUCAAAUUUCUCCAUAUACACCUAAACGGAUGCUAUGUGUGUAUUUGCUCCCGAGACCUCCUUCGGGAAGGAUGGGGCUUCCGCAGCGUCCCUGUUCCAAGCGAACGGGUACGUUUUCCCAGUGUUAUCCAAUCUCACCCAGUGAGGUAGUGCUUUGACAAUGGUGAGUGGAACUACUUGUUCCGAGCCCCGGCCUACACCUAAUAGGGGCGCAGGCGGCUCGCACAGGGCACUGGAAGGGGCAGCACCCAUGGCGCUUUGGUAGGGAUCCCAUUUUCGUCGGUCACCGACGUGGCGUCGAGAGUGACCGACUGAAAGGGAACGUCUCGGUUACGUAUGGUAACCCUCGUUCCCUGAAGGAGGGAACGGAGACGCCACGUCCCCGUCGCCAUGGUUACUGUACCGCCGCUGAGCUGCCGGGUCUCCGGCUCGGCUCCUCAGCGAAAAGCUGGUAUGCAUUGCACCUGCUGCCUUCUUAUACUCACGCUGUGAUCAGCGGCAGCUGGAUGCAAUAAUUGCAUGCCAAUGUGCAUUGGCUCGUUUAGUUUACACUCGAAGUAGAUUGGUCUAUCGAAGUGAUAUCCCAUUUUCGUCGGUCACCGACGUGGCGUCUCCGUUCCCUCCUUCAGGGAACGAGGGUUACCAUACGUAACCGAGACGUUUUUCUGCAUGAAGAGGUGAAAAAAAAUAACUAAUCCAUUACCAGCCACACCAAACGACCUCAAACACCACAAACCAGAAGAACUUCAUUGUGCAUUGAUC